rnacentral:rRNA from 1 species
GGCGGCGUGCUUAACACAUGCAAGUCGAACGAUGAAGCCCCUCGGGGCGGAUUAGUGGCGAACGGGUGAGUAACACGUGGGCAAUCUGCCCUCCACUCUGGGACAAGCCCUGGAAACGGGGUCUAAUACCGGAUACCACCCCCGCCGGCAUGGGCGGGGGUCGAAAGCUCCGGCGGUGCAGGAUGAGCCCGCGGCCUAUCAGCUUGUUGGUGAGGUAACGGCUCACCAAGGCGACGACGGGUAGCCGGCCUGAGAGGGCGACCGGCCACACUGGGACUGAGACACGGCCCAGACUCCUACGGGAGGCAGCAGUGGGGAAUAUUGCACAAUGGGCGCAAGCCUGAUGCAGCGACGCCGCGUGAGGGAUGACGGCCUUCGGGUUGUAAACCUCUUUCAGCAGGGAAGAAGCGCAAGUGACGGUACCUGCAGAAGAAGCGCCGGCUAACUACGUGCCAGCAGCCGCGGUAAUACGUAGGGCGCGAGCGUUGUCCGGAAUUAUUGGGCGUAAAGAGCUCGUAGGCGGCCUGUCGCGUCGGUUGUGAAAGCCCGGGGCUUAACCCCGGGUCUGCAGUCGAUACGGGCAGGCUAGAGUUCGGUAGGGGAGAUCGGAAUUCCUGGUGUAGCGGUGAAAUGCGCAGAUAUCAGGAGGAACACCGGUGGCGAAGGCGGAUCUCUGGGCCGAUACUGACGCUGAGGAGCGAAAGCGUGGGGAGCGAACAGGAUUAGAUACCCUGGUAGUCCACGCCGUAAACGUUGGGAACUAGGUGUGGGCGACAUUCCACGUCGUCCGUGCCGCAGCUAACGCAUUAAUUGCCCCGCCUGGGGAGUACGGCCGC